AGUGAACGCUGGCGGCGUGCCUAACACAUGCAAGUCGAACGAUGAAGUCCUUCGGGAUGGAUUAGUGGCGCACGGGUGAGUAUACCAUAGAUAAUGUACCUCUUAGUUCGGGAUAGCCACUGGAAACGGUGAUUAAUACCGGAUACUUCUUCUCAUUAUCAGAGGAGUCGGGAAAGUUUUUUCGCUAAGUGAUCAUUCUAUUUUCUUUCAGCUAGUUGGUGAGGUAAUGGCUCACCAAGGCUAUGACGGGUAUCUGGUUUGAGAGGAUGAUCAGACACACUGGAACUGAGACACGGUCCAGACUCCUACGGGAUGCAGCAGUGAGGAAUAUUGCACAAUAGAGGAAACUCUGAUGCAGCAACGCCGCGUGGAGGAUGACGCAUUUCGGUGUGUAAACUCCUUUUAAGAGGGAAGAUAAUGACGGUACCUCUUGAAUAAGCACCGGCUAACUCCGUGCCAGCAGCCGCUGUAAAAC
rnacentral:rRNA from 1 species